UAGAGCUCCAUUUAAUAAAUCAAUUUCUUCCUGUUCGCUUAACCUUCUCUCUCUCCAGUGUCUCUCUCUUCCUACGCCAUUUCCUCUCCUUAGUCCCCCUCAACCAGCCUCUGUUAGAGAUUCCUACGCAGGUAACAAAGCAUGUUCCGGCCAAACAAUACACUAAACGCAACCAGAAAAGAAGUAAACGCGGGGAGGGUGCAGCCUAAUAUGUUGAAAUUCUAUAAGGGCUGCUGCAGUCUUGAGAUUCUUAUUCCACUCAACCACUUGGUGGAAAGGGAAAGAAGGCCAACAAGGGCACCAAAAGCAGUAAAUGAAGCAAAUCAUCAAAUAUUUUUUUUGUUUUUGUUAUGGUUCCCACAGUUUAUGUAACUGGUAUUUAAAUUGGUCAAAUGCCAAAAACAAUAUUUGCUAUUUUGGUUGGAAGAUGUGCAUGUCUGAUGUGUGGUGGACCAGUAGUUAGGUUUUGGUUGUAAACCUCUAUGCAUGUGGCUUAAAGACAAAAUUGAUUGUCUUUACUUUUGGUAGAUGAUAACAUUAUAUAUGUUUAAUCAAUGUAGCAGAAUUUAUAUUUGAAGAAAUUUGCAACAGAAAUUUUAUUUG